GUAUUUGCUGAGCACCUGGUAUGUUCAGGAUACCGAUAAAGAAGUGUGUGUGAGAUGGUGUAGAAAGUCAUGAACCUUUAUACGAGACUGUAGAAGUAGCAGGUCAUCUGAUGGCAGGACUGCUAGGGAAGUAAAGGUGAGACGGGGGCCUUCUGGCUGGGGUGGUUAUGAUGGCUUGUGACAAGGGUGAUACUUAAAUUGGAUCAUGAGUAGUAGUGAGAACUUUAAAACGGGAGUUGUGAGAGAGCCAUAGCUUGGGAUAGGCAAAAGAACUGAAGAGCAAAUGUGGAGAGGACAGAUUAAAAUUCCUUAAUCUACAAUACCAGUUUUGAAUGAAUAUGGGUAUGUCGCAUGCCUAAUGAGAAAUUGAAAAUCGGUCUCCCCCAAAACAAAAAUAAAAACAGAAACAAACCCGUGCCAUCCCUUAGAGAUACAAUUGCCCUUAUUUGCACAUUUACAUCUCAUCUUGAAUAUCCUUGCUUUUUUUUUUAUCCUGACUUUUUCCUCAAAGACAGUUUUCAAAACAGAGACUGUCAUAUUUAAUAAACUCUGUCAGAGACAUCCUGAGCCAGGCUACCCAACUGCCACUUUGCUUUAUGUCUUUAAAUGUAUAUGCAAAUUCCAUGACUUUCCUCUCUGUGUGUGUUGACUAUUGUCCCAUACCUCUCAAAAGUAUGAAGAAUGCACGUGUGUCUCCAAAGGCAAACUGGCCACAUGUCAUCCCUGCGAUGGCCAGAGGUGAUGGCCUGGAAGAGCUGUGGCCAGUGAGGAGGGACCAGACUCCUUGGAAGAUGAUGGCCACUGCAGAGUGCACACUCUACUCAGAUCAGGUUGUUGACCUCUUUUUCUUCUUUUCAUGAUGUCCACCCAUUCCUAUGCAUGCCACAUGUAGCGUCACCAACAUACCAUCUCCGGCUUGCUCUCCAGGAAGAAUGAAUACGUGGAAGAUGACGUUUGAUUCUUCCUGCUGGCCACUGACCCUAGAGAGACAUCAUGGACAACAUGGACACUCACUUCAACAUGAGGCUACUGAGACGUGUUAUCAGAUGAGACAACAUGGACUUAAAGACAUAUGUGAGCCUUGUGUUAGCCACCCGGAAGGACCAGCAGCGGGCAAUGUGGAGAUGAGAACUGAGAUUUGGUCUAUGGAAAUCGCAAAAUUAAGAGAAACAGAUGUGACUCCAAGGCCAAGGGUCCUACAAUUGGAAAGAACACCAAUACCAUACUAUGAAAUCAGGCUUUGAGGCCCACAGAAGGCUCAGCCAUUGUGCUGCCAUGCUGACCCUCCCUUCUGAAG
rnacentral:lncRNA from 1 species